UUUAUCCUAGGAGGAGCCAAUCACUACUAUACAACAUUAAUUUUAUUUUAAUAUGUAAAGUUAACUUUUUAAUGUGUGAUAACCUAUUGGUUAGCUCCUGGGCUACAAUGAGAAGAAACCAGUAAGCUAUACAGAAGGAGUUGGCCAAUGUGGAGCUUGACCACAGCCCAGGAGCUCCAACUUUGUCUUGGGACCUUAAGAGGAAAGGAUCACCCAACUCACAGAUACCUGAGGAUACAAACCCAUGGCUGGGCUCAGCUUUAAUAGGAUUUAUCUGAGGAAGAUCCGAGGAAGAUGAUAACAGAGGUUAAAAGGCAUGGCACAGUCAAUGAAAAAUCAUAUAUUUAGUACCUUCCUCUCAUCAGGACCCACCCCAAAACUGAAUCUCAGAUAAAAUCAGCCAGCUAAUUAUCUUUAAGGUCCAUGGAAGACAAGACGCUUUCACUAGGCUGGAGUGCAACGGCAUGAUCUCGGCUCACUGCAAUCUCUGCCUCCCAGGUUAAAGCGAUUCUCCUGCCUCAGCCUCCCAAGUAGCUGGGAUAACAAGCGCCUGCCACCAUGCCCGGUUAAUUUCUUGUAUUUUUAGUAGAGACGGGGUUUCACCAUGUUGGCCAGGAUGGUCUCGAUCUCUUGACCUCGAGAUCUGCCCGCCUCGGCCUCCUAAAGUGCUGGAUUACAGGUGUGAGCCAUCGCGCCCGGCCAAUCCUUAACAUUUUUAUUGUUUUCAAGUUGACACCUAUUUUCCUUAAGGUAAAGUAUAUGGGUAGAAAUCCUGUUAGAGGUGUUGAUGUUUUCCACUACCAUAAACUGUCUUCUUUUCUGUUUAAACACUUGAAUAGUUUUUCAAAAUCUGUAUUCUGGAAUGUCAAGGAAGCAAUAUCCUUGAGAUUGUCUUAGGAAUGAUGUAAGAUAAUAUUUAAAAUCGAAAAUUCAAUGGAUUAUCAACUUAUAAUUUUGAGAUGAAAAUAACAUUUAUUAUCUAUUGAUGGGUAAUAUGAAAAUAACUUAGCCCUAUCCUGAAAAGCUCACAGUGUUUAAACAGGACUUCUUGUUCCAGGGGAUAACUUAGUGAAAACUGUUCAAAAGUAAAUUAGAAUCUAAAUAUAUAGCUCAAACACAGAUUAUUUGUUAUUGUGAAAGUGAGCAUCAACUACUAUGCAAGGUAUACAUAGACCUCAUCUGCAGGCAAUGAUGUUUUACUGAAGUAAGGCACUUGCUCCCUUAGUUAUAAAAUAACAAAAAUAAAUUCUAACAGACAUUUCUAGGUUAGAAGUGGAUUAAAUCUGGGCUGGAUGUGAAUUAAAGAAACUGUUCAAAGACUCUUCAUCACUCCUCAAGGUUCUUAUGAUACCUAGCAAAAUGAAGCACAACUUCUACCCUUACAGGAAACGUCUUGGAAUUCUACCCAAUCAUUACUCUCCUUGCUUAAAGCUUUAUGGACUGUCCAACAGAGAUGCUGUGUUUCUUCUUCUUUUUCUUUUUUUUUUUUUUUUUGAGAUGGAGUCUCACUCUGUCGCCCAGGCUGGAGUGCAGUGGCGUGAUCUCAGCUCACUGCAAGCUCCUCCUCCCGGGUUCACGCCAUUCUCCUGCCUUAGCCUCCCAAGUAGCUGGGACUACAGGUGCCCGCCACCUUGCCUGGCUAAUUUUUUGUAUUUUUAGUAGAGAUGGGGUUUCACCAUGUUAGCCAGGAUGGUCUCGAUCUCCUGACCUCGUGAUCCGCCCAUAACGGCCUCCCAAAGUGCUGGGAUUACAGGCGUGAGCCACCGCGCCCAGCCGUUUCUUCUUUUUAUGCUGCUCUUUUCCACUUAAAUUUGUUAGCCUCUUCACUUAGUUUUCUUACAUUAUCAGGGAUACUUCGGGGGGAAGAGGGUAGAAAAAAAAACAUGUUGAUGAAAUUACUUUGUCAAGUUUAACAUGCUUUAUAAGGCAACAAUGUUAAUUCUUAGACAAGAAUCUUAAAAUGAGUACACAAAUAAGUCAAUACUUUAAAAUAAAUACCCAACAAUGUAACACCACAGACAUCAGUUAAAAUUUAUUAGAGCUUAAAGCUUUUACUUUCAACAAAUCAUAUGAUUUUUUUUUUUUUUUUUUUUGGAAAGCCUAUGUUAAAAGGUAUUCCCAUUGGGUUUCCUAGUGUCAUAUUGUGUAAUUUACAGCAGGUCUUCUUAAUCUCUCAUUUUUACGUAAGUAAAUGGAGAACCUUAUUUAAACAAAGAUGUACUAAUUAUUUGAUGCAAAAUGAUGUUUGUUGAAGUAAUGACUUGCUGAAAUAAAUACUUUAAUAGAUAUUUUAAAUGGAUUUCCAAAUAGUUGCAGAGAACACUAAAUCUAAAAGAGAAUUGUAGAAUGCUCAUAUUUUUAAAGUUAUUACUAUUUUUAAAACUGAAAUCCUGUAUGUUAUGCUAAAAGUCAACAGAGACAUAUCAUCUUGAAUAAAUCACAUUCUGCAAAUGGGUAGAAUUCAGCCUGACUUGUUAAACAAAGCUA